AUUACAUCUAUCAUCCUAAUGGAGGUGUAGAUUACAUCUAUCAUCCUAAUGGAGGUGUAGAUUACAUCUAUCAUCCUAAUGGAGGUGUAGAUUACAUCUAUCAUCCUAACGGAGGUGUAGAUUACAUCUAUCAUCCUAACGGAGGUGUAGAUUACAUCUAUCAUCCUAAAGGAGGUGUAGAUUACAUCUAUCAUCCUAACGGAGGUGUAGAUUACAUCUAUCAUCCUAAUGGAGGUGUAGAUUACAUCUAUCAUCCUAAAGGAGGUGUAGAUUACAUCUAUCAUCCUAACGGAGGUGUAGAUUACAUCUAUCAUCCUAAUGGAGGUGUAGAUUACAUCUAUCAUCCUAAAGGAGGUGUAGAUUACAUCUAUCAUCCUAAAGGAGGUGUAGAUUACAUCUAUCAUCCUAAUGGAGGUGUAGAUUACAUCUAUCAUCCU